UAAGACAGAGGCCCCAAGCGUUAGGCGGAAUCACUGGGCUUAAAGCGUGUGUAGGCGGAUCGUUAAGUGUCUUGUGAAAUCCCACGGCUCACCCGUGGAACUGCUGGGCAUACUGGCGAUCUUGGGCCAACUAGGGGCAGUCGGAACAAGCGGUGGAGCGGUGAAAUGCGUAGAUAUCGCUUGGAACGCCGAAGGUGAAAACAGACUGCUGGGGUUGCGCCGACGCUGAGACACGAAAGCCAGGGGAGCAAACGGGAUUAGAUACCCCGGUAGUCCUGGCCCUAAACGAUGUCCACUAGAUUACGGCGCCUUUGACGGCGUCGUGGUCGAAGCAAAAGUGUUAAGUGGACCGCCUGGGAAGUACGGUCGCAAGGCUA
rnacentral:rRNA from 1 species